AUUGAACGCUGGCGGAAUGCUUUACACAUGCAAGUCGAACGGCAGCACGGGUGUUUGCACCUGGUGGCGAGUGGCGAACGGGUGAGUAAUACAUCGGAACGUACCCAGUCGUGGGGGAUAACGUAGCGAAAGUUACGCUAAUACCGCAAACGUCCUGAGGGAGAAAGCGGGGGACCGUAAGGCCUCGCGCGAUUGGAGCGGCCGAUGGCGGAUUAGCUAGUUGGUGGGGUAAAGGCCUACCAAGGCGACGAUCCGUAGCGGGUCUGAGAGGACGGCCCGCCACACUGGAACUGAGACACGGUCCAGACUCCUACGGGAGGCAGCAGUGGGGAAUUUUGGACAAUGGGCGAAAGCCUGAUCCAGCCAUUCCGCGUGGGUGAAGAAGGCCUUCGGGUUGUAAAGCUCUUUCGGCAGGGAAGAAACGGCUUGGGAUAACACCCCGGGCUAAUGACGGUACCUGAAGAAGAAGCACCGGCUAACUACGUGCCAGCAGCCGCGGUAA
rnacentral:rRNA from 1 species